rnacentral:rRNA from 1 species
UACGUAGGUGGCAAGCGUUGUCCGGAUUUACUGGGCGUAAAGAGCGCGCAGGCGGUCGUUCAAGUCGCGUGUGAAAGCCCCCGGCUCAACUGGGGAGGGUCCACGCGAUACUGAUCGACUCGAAGGCAGGAGAGGGUAGUGGAAUUCCCGGUGUAGUGGUGAAAUGCGUAGAUAUCGGGAGGAACACCAGUGGCGAAGGCGACUACCUGGCCUGUUCUUGACGCUGAGGCGCGAAAGCUAGGGGAGCAAACGGGG